AGUGAACGCUGGCGGUAGGCCUAACACAUGCAAGUCGAACGGCAGCACAGUAAGAGCUUGCUCUUACGGGUGGCGAGUGGCGGACGGGUGAGGAAUACAUCGGAAUCUACUUUUUCGUGGGGGAUAACGUAGGGAAACUUACGCUAAUACCGCAUACGACCUACGGGUGAAAGCAGGGGAUCUUCGGACCUUGCGCGAUUGAAUGAGCCGAUGUCGGAUUAGCUAGUUGGCGGGGUAAAGGCCCACCAAGGCGACGACCCGUAGCUGGUCUGAGAGGAUGAUCAGCCACACUGGAACUGAGACACGGUCCAGACUCCUACGGGAGGCAGCAGUGGGGAAUAUUGGACAAUGGGCGCAAGCCUGAUCCAGCCAUACCGCGUGGGUGAAGAAGGCCUUCGGGUUGUAAAGCCCUUUUGUUGGGAAAGAAAAGCAGCAGGUUAAUACCCCGCUGUUCUGACGGUACCCAAAGAAUAAGCAUCGGCUAACUUCGUG
rnacentral:rRNA from 1 species